UUGUACUAGGGUUUAAGGCGAGGUCC
rnacentral:piRNA from 1 species